CGAGGUGCUCUGCCCGAGGGGUUUUGAGCAACAGGGAGCUCUUUGGAAGGUGCAGGAGGAAACGCAGAAGCGGGGCAAGAUGGGUUGUUUCCUUACAAAGCUGGCAGGUCCGCCUUUUCUAGGAUAAGGGAACAUGGGUGUGAGCAGAAACCCCCAAGUCACGUGACCACUUCUGAGCCUACUCUUCUUCCCAACACAUAGAAACGAUCUGUGUUUCGUGGUACCGAGUGAACGGCGGGAACGGCGGAAUUUCAACAUGGCUGUUCUUUAUUUGAUUAAAUAUACUCUCUAUUUAUUCUUAAAAAAAACUAAUUUAAGUUAAAUGGCAAUAAACCAUGAUAAUUUGGAAAACAUGUUGAAAUUGAGAGUGAAGAGAAAUGUUCUGUAUGUAAACCACACUGUAAACCAUAAAACUUAUUUUUGUCAA